rnacentral:rRNA from 1 species
ACGGGUGAGUAAUACAUCGGAACGUAUCCUGGAGUGGGGGAUAGCCCGGCGAAAGCCGGAUUAAUACCGCAUACGCUCUGAGGAGGAAAGCGGGGGACCUUCGGGCCUCGCGCUCAAGGGGCGGCCGAUGGCGGAUUAGGUAGUUGGUGGGGUAAAGGCCUACCAGGCCGACGAUCCGUAGCUGGUCUGAGAGGACGACCAGCCACACUGGGACUGAGACACGGCCCAGACUCCUACGGGAGGCAGCAGUGGGGAAUUUUGGACAAUGGGGGCAACCCUGAUCCAGCAAUGCCGCGUGUGUGAAGAAGGCCUUCGGGUUGUAAAGCACUUUUGUCCGGAAAGAAAUCAUCGGGGCCAAUACCCCUGGUGGAUGACGGUACCGGAAGAAUAAGCACCGGCUAACUACGUGCCAGCAGCCGCGGUAAUACGUAGGGUGCGAGCGUUAAUCGGAAUUACUGGGCGUAAAGCGUGCGCAGGCGGUGCUGUAAGACCGAUGUGAAAUCCCCGGGCUUAACCUGGGAACUGCAUUGGUGACUGCAGCGCUGGAGUAUGGCAGAGGGGGGUGGAAUUCCACGU